GUGUCAGCCGCCGCGGUAAUACGGAGGGUGCGAACGUUAAUCGGAAUCACUGGGCGUAAAGCGCGCGUAGGCGGUUUGUUAAGUGGGAUGUGAAAGCCCCGGGCUUAACCUGGGAAUUGCAUUUCAAACUGGCGAACUAGAGUGCGGUAGAGGGAGGUAGAAUUUCCUGUGUAGCGGUGAAAUGCGUAGAUAUAGGAAGGAAUACCAGUGGCGAAGGCGGCCUCCUGGAUCGACACUGACGCUAAGGCGCGAAAGCGUGGGGAGCAAACAGGAUUAGAAACCCGCGUAGUCC
rnacentral:rRNA from 1 species